UACGGAGGGUGCAAGCGUUAUCCGGAUUCACUGGGUUUAAAGGGUGCGUAGGUGGGCAAGUAAGUCAGUGGUGAAAUCUCCGGGCUUAACCCGGAAACUGCCAUUGAUACUAUUUGUCUUGAAUACUGUGGAGGCAGCGGAAUAUGUCAUGUAGCGGUGAAAAUGCUUAGAUAUGACAUAGAACACCAAUUGCGAAGGCAGCUGGCUACACAAAUAUUGACACUGAGGCACGAAGCGUGGGGAUCAAACAGGG
rnacentral:rRNA from 1 species